GAACAAAAACUUGGGGAUUUUUUCUUUUUCCAAAUUAUACCUUUGGAAAGCCAUCUGUUCAAUGCUUCGAGCGGGCCAAAACAAUCAACUCAAAGUCUUUUGCACAAAGGUCGACCCCAUUAAAAAUUCUCCUCCUGGAGAUAGAUUUUCUUCUUGAUCCAUCUGAAGGUUUUCUUGAUCCAAACACCACAUUGUGGCCAAAAAUACCUUUGUACUCACAUCCUUGGUCCUUCAUUAAUAGGCAAGGGUCAGGAUGCCCAUCGUGAUUAUAGAACCUUGUAACCAUUGACUCCUCUUGAAGCUGUAGAUCUAAUAGUUUUCUUCUUCUCAAAAGCAUGUAGCUGACAGGGUGAGUUUCACCAGUUUUCAAUCUUCUUUUCCUGAGCUAGCGAUUCAAACCGUUCCUUGAAUGUCGGCCAAAGUUCCCUCCAGCAUUCUACCCAAAUUUCCAGCUCUCUUCUUGAUUUGAAAUUGUGUUCCCUCAACUCUGAAUAGGACAGAGUUUGAUUCAGGAGAGGCCCCAUGAUUUUGAAGCAAACCAUUUUUCUGCAUUUCAGGCCCAGUUAAUCUGUUCUACAGAAUUUCCCAUUUUUAUGACAAAGUGUCUGUAGAACGGGAGGACAGCACAAUUCCUGACAAAAAAAAUCGUCCCAGACCAGAGUCCUCAAUCCAAAGAACGGGAAUAAAACUUCGUUUGAGUCUUGAAGCUGAGGGACUCAGUGCGUGGAAUGGAACUCAAGUGGCUAUAGAAGUAAAAUCAUCCUUAAGGUGGUCUGGAUCUGGGCAUUGAUGCCCCUCCACCUCCAGGACUAGGCCUCUUUCAUUUGUCGAGUACAUACUGAAUCAAAACUGGUUCUCUUAGGUUUUCACAAUGCCAAUUCUUCUGAUCAUUGGUGGAUGCAAGCUCUGAAAACCUCUUUGAUUAGGUAUCCUUCUCACUGGAUCACAGCCACCUUCAUCUUCUCAACCUUCGAUUUUCUAAAAGCUUCAUUGUUUCCAUUUGAUAAUCCAUUCAGCUCAUUUAUCACAAUGUAUCGCUUUUCUUUGAGUGGUAUCUUUUGCGCCUCUGCAAAUUAGGCAAAUAUGCAAAGAAAAAACUCAGCCAGUUUCAGCUGGACCGCAACUACUUUGCAUGCACCAAGUCAAAGCUCAAGUAAACUGCAACAUUUGAGAAGGGGGAAAAAGAAAAUAAGGGGGGGAAAAAUUAGAAAAACCCAGUUUGGGUAGGAAGCUCAAAAAAACAGAAAAUAAAACCAGGUUUGACAUAAUUUGAUAUUCAUCACCUCAGAGCAUCUCGAAGGGAUCCAAAAUUUAAAAAAAAAAAAAUAGGGUUAAGGUAGUAUUUUGUUGCUCCAAUAGAUACCCCAAACAACAAACCACCCUUCAAAAUAUCAAUUUUUUUCUCUUUCAAAUUUGAUAAAUGGGCCGCAACCUUCAAACACCAAAUCAUAAUACAAAAUCAAAAAGAUUUUGACGAGUCUAUUGGAGUGCACCACUAAGGUAGCAAAGGACAAAAAAAAGGCCAACUCCCCCAAGAUUUCGAACAAUUCCAAUAUCCUCCCCUCAAGUUUCUAAAAUAACACCGACAUCCCUCCUGAUUUAGAUGUCGGGUGCAUUUUUUCCCCCUUCCAUUAAUGCACCGUUAGUGAAAAUGACAAAUAUUGCUGAGGCCAGCAAGGAAAAUCGUGAAAUUUUCACGUGUAUUUAUACAUUGUCAUACACUUUUUACAUAUAUGAUAUAAAUAGAGGCCAACUCCUUAUUCAUUGGGUGUUUAAUAUUCCUGUUCUUUAAAUAUGGUAUACUUUUUAUUUUUCUGAAAUUCUGUUAUUCCCAACAGAUAAAUUCACAAACAAAAAGUUAAUUUUUUGACCAAAAAAGAUGGGAAAAAUGUUCACGUAUAAAAAAAACGGAAAUAGUCCAUAAAUAAAUGGAGCCUGAAAGGUGAAGUUAUUAUUGGAACAGAAAGGGAAAAAAAAAAAAAAAAAAUAAAAAAAAAAAAAAAUUCAUUAAUAAAGUUCCAUUGCAAAAGAAAAUGAACAGAAGUUCAACACAAGAAAAAAGCAUAAGAGAAACAAAACAUAAAAACACCAAAAUGCUAAUUACGAGGGGGUGGGUUGAAGCUAAGUGAUUCCCAACAUAGAGCAUAGAUUUGUAAUGCAAGUUUGGCCAAAUUAUGAGUUGCUACAACACUUGUUUUGGAAACAUGAGUGUAAUCUGGGAAAAAUUCAAACGCUUGACAUCAAUCACGACAUUGACAAGUUUCUGCCCAUCGUAGGUAAUGGAACACAAAUAGUUUACUAGAGGUCAAUUGAGCAAAUGCAAUGGGCGUAUGAGGGUAAAAAUGUAAAAGACCGAGAUUGUUGAUUUCUUCAUAAAAUAUCCCAGUCCAUUAUAUGGGCAAAUUAGUAAAAAACCACUAUCAGUUAACACCGUUUUCAAGACAACACUGACAGGGGAGGUCUGUGUAAUUUACACAAAAAAUGCUGGAGUGCCAUUUAUUAUAAAAGUCUACACAAAACAUGCAAAAUGUGAUUGUAGCGCCCGGCACCCGUCCCCCCAACGCGGGAAGGAAAGACCGAAAGGGAAGAAGGGCGAAGGAGGGAAGACAAGGGCGCGUGUGUUUGCGAUGACGGACACAGCGCUGGUCUGAGUGGGAGCCGUGGCACGAUGCUAACGUGAGAGGUAUGUUUUAAGAAAAGGAGGAGGAAAACAAGGAAGAAGAAAGGAAAAAAGUAGGUGUAGAAAAGAAGAGAGCAGACCAGUUUUUAGCAAGAAAGAAGAGGGGAGGGACAAUAACAAAAACAAUGCACAGGGAUAGGGGGAGCAGAAGAGAUGACGAAUGUGGGCAAAGACGGCAGAGGGAGUGAAGGAGAGGUUAAGGGCGAAAGAAAGGUGGAAGAGGAAGAAGGGGCGAGUUGUCUGUGUGUGUUGAUUAUGACACACAAAAUAAUCGCUGUAGAGUGCGAUAUAAGUAAGUCUGAUAAACCUAAAAAUGCAAAAAUGAAGAAUUGUUAGGCCGAAGAAAAAACAAAAUUUUUCGAUUUGCACCUUGCGGGAACACAUGCUGUCUGAGUUGUUUUAUAAAAGAAAAAUUGUACCAUGGAAUGUGACACAAUGGAGAAACAAAGUACAGUAGGCGAUGGAAGGAAAUAGGUGUAGCCGACGAGUUCAAUAAUGGUUUAAAUCGGGGACAAAGGACCAUAAUGUGCAGGACCAGUCUUCACAAAGAAAACAUCAAUUGAAUAAAGGAAAAGAACAUGACAGUGUUGCUGGCUUGCUUCAUGACACCAGAACAAUGUAGCUCAACCGCAUAUUGCACGUUUACUUUCAAAAACCCUUUGCAGCCUUGUGGAUCCAAAGAUUGCCAUUUUGCCAUUCCAAAAUUGCUUCUCAAAGUUAUUCAUAAUUCUUGCAAAGGAAAAAAGGAACGAGCGAGAAGGACUCUUGAUGGUUUCCUCAUGACUUGGUUUUUCAGCCCUCCCAGGGCUCUUCUUUUCUUCAACCAAGCAAGUCAGUUGGCCCCCCAAUUCAUCAGGUUGCACUCCUUUUUUUAAGCUACGAGGGUGGGAUUCUAUUUCAUUUUCCAGAAAGGAAAUAAUUUGGUAUGCAUUCUAUGUCUCUCUCAUCUUUUCCCCAAAUUGCUUCCAGGUUCCAAAGUUUCUCCAACCAGCAUUGUGACGAGUAGCAUUGUUUGUUUCAAUACCUGGCUGCCAAAAAAAUAAACCCAGCUGUGAUGGAAGUGAAAAACACUCCAACAGAAGCUAGGAUUACAACCAUUAACAACAUAAAAAGGGAAAUUAAGAACAGGGACAAUAAAUCAAGGCUUACCCAUGAGUUCACAUUUGACUUUUAUUCAGAUACGCAAGCAUUAUUUGCCUGGGGGCAAUCAUACUUUCGCAGGAAAACUCGCUCAUCUGUUCUGAAAAAGAAUACUCAUUCAUGGGCAGGACCUGAGUUGUUGAAACACCACUUUUUUAGGUUCAGUCAGUUCUCAAUUGGUCUUCAAUAUUCCAUUUCCUGGACAUUUCUCAAGAUUCGUUCCAUAGCACAGAAACAUUUCGCUCCAUACAAAAUGCUGGCAGUUGUGGUCACUUGCAACUUUCGUUUGUCGUUCUGACCAGGAUACAGUUCGUUCCCAGGGACUGAAUCUGUUCUUUGCUUCAUUGUUUUCAAUUUUUAGGAAGGGCCGAUUGUUGGAGAAAAAAGCAAUUCCUUAUGCUCCUAAGCAUCAAUGAUGAGUGAAUUUAUUCUCAGAGAAACCUAUUUACCAUCACAAAAGCAGGAUGUUGCACAGGUCUGCUGCUUUUCGAAUUUGCUCUUCCCCAAGUUUAAUCCUAUUCUCUAACUCUGCUAUGGUAUAUGUUCUUGAGCUCAACUUGAUGUCAAAAAUGGAGGAUUUCUUUUCUCCUUUUCCCUGCCACUCUGCCUCGUAUGCAUUCGGUAUAUACCCCAAGUUGGCCCCCCUCAAAGGACUCAGCAUUGAAAUCCCAUUCUCGAGUCUGCUAUUGUUUAAGCAUCUUCUAAACAUUGGAUGAGGUCUUUUCAAUCAAAUAACUCCUUCAGAGAGUACUUUUUUUUUCUGCUAACUGUUCAGAGAAUAUGAUUCUUUCCCAAGGAAAAGAACUGGGAAACAGGAAUCAAGCUGAUCGAUAAUUUGCAAUCUUUGAGCGCUCCAUGGCCCAUCAGCAAAGAAGUUCGUUUCAAUCUCACAGGUCAAUAAUCUCCAUUUCUUCAGAUGACAGUCUAAUUCUUAUCUUUUCGCUUCAGCUUUCACUAAAUUUCGUUAUCUUGGGGCCAUGGAGAUGUAGUUUUCCUGCAGCUCGUGAUUUCAUGUUUGCAAAUAAAGGCCAACAACGCUUCUCUUUGGGCCUCUAUCUCCUUUUCAUUUACUAUCUUGGGACUUGUUGCUGAAGAAACUGCAAGUUCAUCCUGCCAGCAGCUAGUACCUCAUGCAGUUCACACUCAACUUGCCUGGCGGACUUCGUCGCCCACAUUUCUUUUCUCGUUAGAGUGCCUUUGUUAAAUGCAGCCAUCACUUUGAUUACCCAUGGUAUUCAAAAACUCGUGGCGCCUUUUCAAGAGAGUGUGACAUCUUCUUUAACUUCGUCCUCUGUAAAAAGGGGGGAAGAAUGACUUUCACUUUCUGGAUGCUUCGAAGGAUUGGCGAUCUCUUAAAAAACUCUUGCACCAAGACAAAUUGCUCUGCAAAGUAAGAGGAUUUCAAAGCUCACUGUUUUCUCAAAUAAAUGCUCGGCCAUAGAGCUAUAUUAUUUCUAAGAUACUCCAUUUUCAUGAUGGACGAAGAAUAGUUGGGAGCUCCAGCAGCUUUCAAUAACAAGAUAUUGCUUUCUUGAGCUCUUCCUUCCACCAUCUUCAUAAUGGGCUUAGUUAUCAACAAAAUAUUUUUUUUUGUCAACUCAGAUCCCCUACUCAUGCCCCCCAGUAUCCUUCUUCCUGAAUUUUAGGCACAAGAUGACCUUCUUCUUGAGAAUGAUCUUUUAGAAAUAUCUAACAAUCCAAUUGCUAGGAUCACGACUUCUUUCCGUGUGUAAUCAGAUUUUCCUCUUUUGCAUGUCCAGUUUCCUCAUGGAACCGCCUUAAGAAAUGGAUCAUCCAAAGAUGUGAGCUUCCAUUUAUGGACUCUAAAAGGUCGUAGGUGGUUACCGCAAUUUAAAAAGAAGAAGUUACACGAGUCAUGAAAUUGUGAAAAAGAAGACAAAAACAAGAAAAAAGGAUAUUGGCUCUGUUAAUGAUAUGAAUAUCUAAUAUCAGUUUUGUAAAGCAUUUAAAAAAAUCAAAAUAUUCACUGCUCCGUGUUUUUUUCAUCAAUCAUCAUAUCUUUUUGGCUUUACAAUUACCAUUGACAGUCUUUCAAAUUUAAAAAUAAAAUAAAGCUCUAUAAUAAAAAUACCUUUAUGAAUUAUCAUUUCGCUAAAUCUUGAUCAUUUGGUUGCAGGCCUGAGGUUAAGUAGUGAAGGCAUGUAGAUCAUCAAUUCUUUUCUCUGCAGUUCAGUAAAAACCAAGAGAUAAUAAACUAGUACUUCAUUGGUUGAAAUUAUCCAGGAUAUAAUUAAAAAUAAUUCACAACUGACAGAUGGGUAAGAGGGAGGAGAGAGAGAGAGGAGACAAAAUAAAAACUUGCAGAGAGAACAAAAUUUCCAGUGUACCUCAACGGAGUCUUGCAUUUUUCUCUAAGCAAGAGAGAGCUUGCUUAGAAUUCCUGCCAUUCCUCUAACUCGUUUGAGAGGUCUUCAUUUCAAACUGAAUGAAAAACAAAAAAAGAAACAAAAACAAAGUGACUAACAGAAAAAAAGUGAAUGUGAGGGAUAAAUCCAAAGAAAAGGGGAAAAAUUCAAUUCUAAAUUAAAUUGUUUGAAAUGACUUAAGUAACUCCACAUAGUGGAGCGAAAUCAUUUCUUUUUACUGAUAUGCAGAGUGUUCCUGUUCCAAUGGUAAGGAAUUUGUUGGAAGAUAGAUUGGAAGAAGGUAACACAAAUCGGGAAUUUUGAAGAUGAUGUCAGGAAAAAUUGAAAAAAUCUAAAGCAGCAAUUUAAGAACCUGAUGGAGGGGCUGUCCAAGGUUUGUUCGAUGGGUAAUGCUGCUUCGAGGGUCCGUUCAAAGUAGAAAGUAUAAAAGGCAAACUGCAAACAGAAGUUUAUCAUAACAUACUUUAAAAAAAGGAUGGAGGACACAUGAAACGGAAACAAUGCAAUCUUAACCCUCAGCAUUUCUACCAAGUAACCUUAUUCCGCAAGUUCAGUACUUCAGAUAGCAGCAUUUCUAUCUUCCCCUUCUUCAUAGAAAUCCUGAAAAAUCUAUUGGCCUAAAAAACUGGGGGACCAUUAGUUAAAAAAAUUAAUGGUAAAAUGUUGCUGGCGAUAAAAAGGUUUUUGUGACAAAAAUGUAUAACUUUAAGUGUUCUAAAAAGCCUGAUAUUCUCCGAGCGAAGCUGAGGUACUUCUGGUUCUAUCAAAAACUUUCAGCUUGAAGGAGUGAAUACUCUUCCGACGAGGCCCCACUGUUCUCUUUACAGGAACAAAUAAGUUCGGGCAGAUUAGUCAAAGCCCACUAACAAAGUGGCUCCAUUCUUUGAAUUUGGGUAUUCCUCACGAACUUCAAACAUCAUUUUUGUGCACUAGGCAUCCUCCUCUCUUUGACGAACCUGAGUAAUAUGGUUUUAGGCAAUUAAAGAGGACCUUCAUUGGGGGGCACAAUAUCUUUAUUUCUACACAUAACAAAACCCUGGUCCUCUCGUUCACUGUAAACUGAAAGAGGGAAACAGAAAUAAUAAUAUAAAUGCAAGAAAUAUAAGUUUAAAAUUAGAGUUACCAAACGAUUUUUUAGCUUGCUCAAUUACCGCUUCAAAGUUGCUUAAUCGAAAGUCUUGCAUCUGUUCCCCUUCGUCAGAACAUCAAGCAAGGUAGACUCCAAAUGACUUUAACUGCGUAGGGAGGGGGGUGGGGGGUGCUGGGGGUGGUUGGGGGGGGGUGCUUAAGAAA
rnacentral:lncRNA from 1 species